rnacentral:rRNA from 1 species
GACGAACGCUGGCGGCGUGCCUAAUACAUGCAAGUUGAGCGAUGAAGCUUGGUGCUUGCACCAAUUUGAAGAGCAGCGAACGGGUGAGUAACGCGUGGGGAAUCUGCCUUUGAGCGGGGGACAACAUUUGGAAACGAAUGCUAAUACCGCAUAACAACUUUAAACAUAAGUUUUAAGUUUGAAAGAUGCAAUUGCAUCACUCAAAGAUGAUCCCGCGUUGUAUUAGCUAGUUGGUGAGGUAAAGGCUCACCAAGGCGAUGAUACAUAGCCGACCUGAGAGGGUGAUCGGCCACAUUGGGACUGAGACACGGCCCAAACGCCUACGGGAGGCAGCAGUAGGGAAUCUUCGGCAAUGGACGAAAGUCUGACCGAGCAACGCCGCGUGAGUGAAGAAGGGUUUCGGAUCGUAAAACUCUGUUGGUAGAGAAGAACGGUGGUGAGAGUGGAAAGCUCAUCAAGUGACGGUAACUACCCAGAAAGGGACGGCUAACUACGUG